GCUCCCACCAACCAACGGGCCGUCGUUCGUUCCCUCCCCCCUCCCCCCGCGCCGCCGCCGCCGCCGCGCCACCAUGCUCCGCCUCCGGUGCUGCAUCCUCGCCCGCCUCCGCUCAUCUCCCGCCACCUCUCAGGGCUCCUAUCUCCACCGCGCCAUCUCUGCCGCCGCCGCCGCGCCCGUCAUCUCCCCAAACCCUAGCUUCGCCGUGGACGACUACCUCGUCGAGACCUGCGGCCUCACUCGAGCGCAGGCACUCAAGGCCUCCCCCAAGCUCUCCCACCUCAAAUCCCCCACCAAGCCCGACGCCGUCCUCUCCUUCCUCGCCGCCCAGGGCUUCUCCAGCUCCGACGUUGCCGCCGUCGUCGCGGGAGACCCCAAGGUACUCUGCUCCAGAGUGGACGGAUACCUUGGCCCCGUCGUCGCCCAGCUCACCGGCCUCGGUCUCUCGCGUUCUCAGAUCGCGCGCCUCAUCUCCUGCUGCCACGGCAACUUACAUCUCACAUCCAUCGUCUCCAAGCUGCAGUACUACAUGCCCCUCUUCGGUUCCAUCGACAACACCCUCCGAGCUCUCAAGGGCCACUUUUACCUUAUCUCGUCUAACCUUGAGAGGGUGGUCAAGCCCAACGUCGCAACCCUGCGGGACUCGGGGCUGGGUGAUUGCGACAUUGCCAAGUUGUGCUUAGCUCAUACACGGCUGCUCACCACCAGUGUAGAAUCCAUCCGGGCAAUCGUGGCAUGCGCUGAAAGUCUUGGUGUGCCCCGUGGAUCUCGGAUGUUCAGGCAUGCGGUGUGUGCUGUUGCAUUCCUCGGCGUGGACAAGAUCGCCGCCAAAGUGGUGUAUUUGAAGAAAACCUUUAGGUGGUCAGAUGCUCAGGUCGGCAUUGCUGUGUCCAAGUUUCCACCCUUGCUGAGGAGGUCUAAGGAUUCUCUGCAGAGGAGGUCAGAGUUCCUCAUCUCUGAGGUGGGGCUGGAACCGACAUACAUUGCUCAUCGUCCGAUGUUGCUCUCUUACAGCCUGGAGGGCCGGCUCAGGCCCCGGUACUAUGUUGUAAAGUUUCUCAAGGAAAACGGAUUUCUAAAUCAUGACCGGGAUUACUAUAAUACACUCAAUAUCAGCGAGAAGACAUUCAUGGAGAAGUUCGUAUGUCCUCAGAAGGAAGCUGCACCCCACCUCGCUGAAGACUAUGCCGGUGCUUGCAGAGGGGAAGUGCCCACUAGAUUCAGAAUUGCAUGAACAAAGAAUGGGUAUGAAACUUGGUAACUUGGUAUGGCACAAAAAAAACACUCUGCAUGUUAGGCUGUUAUUAAUUCCUUUUUUUCUUAGCAGGAAGGCUGUUAUUAAUUCCUAAGUUGGUGAUCUUGGCCUAACUGAGUGAUGGUUGUCUGCUAUAGUAUGUUUGUUAGAUAUAUAUGCUGAUCUUUUAUUUCUAAUCCAGGCUGAAACUGAUAAUUUGAUUUGUGAGUCGUUGUAUGUUCAUUACAUCAUUCAGUAGAGAAGAGCAUCACACUGCCCUCUUGUCUAUUCCCAUGUCAUAUUGACACAUAUAUUGCAACUAAGAGAGUGUGAGAUCACAGAUUAGUGCAUCCUGCAAAUGCUUUCAAGUAUCAGUGAGUAGUGUAUCUGCGCACUCUAUCUUUGUGUUCUCAGUGCUAUCCUUCAUCUCUUUCCAUGAAAGAAGGUUCUCAUUUUGGCCAUGAAGAUGAGAUGAAGUCUCAAAAUAUCCCUUUGUAUGUAAAUUUUGGACUCCUUUUUUUUUUUACUGGGGAACGAUUUUGUAUUUGUUAUGACCAGAAUGUGUCUUUUGACAAUCAUGACCACAGUGUGUUGAUCACUGCCAAGGAUGCAGUUUGGAUCUAGUAUGUUGGUUGCUGCUAUAGUUCUUCUAAGCUGAAAAUCUUCGUUUGUAAGAUAUUAAUUGUUGUGAAAGAUGGUCAUUUUUCACUACUAGUUUGUAAUUGUUUCUUGUUUAUUUUUCUCUUGUAAUUUUUGGAUGGCCUAUCGCCUGUUACUUUUCCUUGGUGCAUCUGAUCUGAAAACAGAAUGGUGCAGUAGUAGUGUAGCAACUAUGUAAUGGAAAUUUCAGGGGAGGCGGAUUGCUGCUUGUAUGGUACAGUGCUGAAAAGGGGAGGUCAUUUCAUACAAUAAAGGAACUUAUGUUAAUCAAGCAUUAUCUAUACAGAUGUUCAGGACAUCUUUAUCCCUUGGCAUGCUUUUUAGGAUAGUAAGGUGGGUCUUAUGUACCAUCCUCUGUUUUAUACCUUUUGCAUUUUUAGAUUCUCUCUUAUAUAUUCUUUAUUCUGUUUGCUACAAUUUCUUCAGAAGACAUGUAUGCUGAAAUUUGAGAAAAGAGAAUGAAGAUGUUGAAGACUGUUACCUUAGCCAAGAGAUGUUCCCAGAUAUGAUACCAAGCCUGGUAAUACAAUAUUUUCUUAGUUCUGCUGAAUAUCACAUCAUCUAUUUAGUUAAAUCUCAGUCUAGGUAUGCAAGUACUAACUUUCACAUAUAGUGUAGUUGUAGAAUUUUGCGGAAUUUCAAACACAGGAAUAGUAGAAAAAGUUGUGUACCUCAAACUAAGAACCAAGCUAUGUAAUGAUGGUGCACAUGUGUUCCUGAUGUGAGGCUGUAGAUGUUGGAAAUGGAGGAAAUGAGAUCUCAGGCAUGUGCUUGCAGUUGCAGUAGCACAAAGGAGAUUGUGGCCAAGUGCUCUGGUUUGAAGAUCAUUCGUGUGCCUCUUCUCUGCUGCUUGUGGAAUUGUAGAAACAGAGAUUAAUGUGAUGCAUGUGAGGGACCAGUAAAGUGACUUACCAGGUGAGCAAAAAGUGGAGGGGCAAUAUGAGCAAGCUGAACUGCUGACGGUGCUGACUGCUUAAACUGGAUACAUACAGAGGGUGCUUCCUUCUUCCAGGGUAUUGACAAAGCCUGACUGCUAUGGAUCUGCAUCUACAUGACUCCAAGCCUCCGUUGGCGGACCAGCUUCAGUUCAGGGUGAGGUUCGGGGCAGAGGAGGAUCUUAGUCGAUGCUACUCUAGUUGAUAAUGCCCUGAAGCUUCCUUCAGUACCGGGUAUGACCUGACGGCGUGUGAGUUUUGUAUUCAGAGAAAAAAACUCCUACCUUUCCUUAUUAGGAUUCCGCCGGCUGUGCAAUCCUUCCUUUUAGUCCUGUGCAAGGUGCCGUGCAUGCUUCAACCCACCUGCCUCAUGCCGGAUUUCAUCAACUCAGCUGAGUGUGGCAGCCCAGAUAAACAAGUAGAGUAAAGUUGCUUUUGAUCGGUUCGUAUA